rnacentral:rRNA from 1 species
AGCUGGCGGCGUGGAUAGGCAUGCAAGUCGAACGAGAAUCUGAAGGUCCAAGUUUUCGGACAAGGACUUUUGGAGGACAGUGGCGGAAGGGUGAGUACAACAUGGAUAAUCUACCUUCAAGUUGGGUAUAGCUCCUCGAAAGGGGAGAUAAUCCCGAAUGUGGUGAUCCGGCGCAUGUCGGAGAAUCCAAAGGCGGGGACCGCAAGGCCUGUCGCUUGAAGAUGAGUCCGUGCACUAUCAGCUAGUUGGCGGGGUAACGGCCCACCAAGGCUAUGACGGUUAGCUGGUCUGAGAGGAUGGUCAGCCACACUGGGACUGAGAUACUGCCCAGACUCCUACGGGAGGCUGCAGUCGAGAAUCAUUCGCAAUGGGCGAAAGCCUGACGGUGCGACGUCGCGUGGAGGAUGAAGGUCUUCGGAUUGUAAACUCCUGUCAUGUGGGAUAAAUGGCCAGGGCACGAAUAGUGCCUUGGAAUGAUAGUACCACAGGAGGAAGAGACGGCUAACUCUGUGCCAGCAGCCGCGGUAAUACAGAGGUCUCGAGCGUUGUUCGGAUUUACUGGGCGUAAAGGGAGCGUAGGCGGUUCGGUAUGUCGAAUGUGAAAGCCCACAACUCAACUGUGGAAAUGCAUUCGAAACUGCCGGGCUAGAGUACUGGAGAGGAGAGCGGAAUUCUUGGUGUAGCGGUGAAAUGCGUAGAUAUCAAGAGGAACGCCGGUGGCGAAGGCGGCUCUCUGGACAGAUACUGACGCUGAGGCUCUAAAGUUAGGGGAGCAAACAGGAUUAGAUACCCCUGGUAGUCCUAACCUUAAACGGUGUACACUUGGUGUGCGAGGAAUUGUCCCUUUGCGCGCCGCAGCUAACGCGAUAAGUGUACCGCCUGGGGAGUACGGUCGC